rnacentral:rRNA from 1 species
CCCUUAGAUGUUCUGGGCCGCACGCGCGCUACACUGAUGCAUUCAACGAGUCUAAAACCUGCUCUGAUAGGGGUGGGUAAUCUUUUGAAUGUGCAUCGUGAUUGGGAUAGAUGAUUGCAAUUUUUCAUCUUCAACGAGGAAUGCCUAGUAAACGCAAGUCAUCAGCUUGCAUUGAUUACGUCCCUGCCCUUUGUACACACCGCCCGUCGCUCCUACCGAGUGAAUGAUCCGAUGAAUAUCAUGGAUUGAGGAUGCAAGCAGGUUCGCCUGUCUUCAUCUUCGAGAAGUGAAGUAAAUCUUAUCAUUUAGAGGAAGGAGAAGUCGUAACA